rnacentral:rRNA from 1 species
AGUCGAGGGGUAACAGGAUGUAGCAAUACAUUGCUGACGACCGGCGCACGGGUGAGUAACACGUAUGCAACCUGCCCUCCACAGGGGGACAACCUUCCGAAAGGGAGGCUAAUCCCGCGUAUAUUCCCUGGGGGCAUCCCUGGGGGAGGAAAGGGUUACCGGUGGAGGAUGGGCAUGCGGCGCAUUAGGCAGUAGGCGGGGUAACGGCCCACCUAACCGACGAUGCGUAGGGGUUCUGAGAGGAAGGUCCCCCACACUGGUACUGAGACACGGACCAGACUCCUACGGGAGGCAGCAGUGAGGAAUAUUGGUCAAUGGGCGGGAGCCUGAACCAGCCAAGCCGCGUGAAGGAAGAAGGCGCCAGGCGUCGUAAACUUCUUUUGUCGGGGAACAAAGGGCGCCACGCGUGGCGUUGUGAGUGUACCCGAAGAAAAAGCAUCGGCUAACUCCGUGCCAGCAGCCGCGGUAAUACGGAGGAUGCGAGCGUUAUCCGGAUUUAUUGGGUUUAAAGGGUGCGUAGGCGGUCCGGAAAGUCAGCGGUAAAAGCCCGGGGCUCAACCCCGGCGAGCCGUUGAAACUGUCGGACUAGAGACGGCGAGAAGUACGCGGAAUGCGCGGUGUAGCGGUGAAAUGCAUAGAUAUCGCGCAGAACUCCGAUUGCGAAGGCAGCGUACCGGCGCCGGACUGACGCUGAGGCACGAAAGCGUGGGUAUCGAACAGGAUUAGAUACCCUGGUAGUCCACGCAGUAAACGAUGAAUGCCGGCUGUCCGGUCCGAGUGAGGGCUGUGGCG